rnacentral:tRNA from 1 species
AAUUAUUUGGCCGAGUGUAGGCAGGUACUUUGAAAGUACCCAACAGAGGUUUGAGCCCUCUAAUAAUUU